AAUCAAGCGCGAGAAGGGCGUUUGGUGGAUGCCUUGGCAGUAAGAGGCGAUGAAGGACGUGAUACUCUGCGAUAAGCUGAGGCGAGCCGAGAAUAGGCUUUGACCCUCAGAUCUCCGAAUGGGGCAACCCACCUGACAGUCAUCUAUUGUUAACUUCGGUUAUCAAUAGGCGGCUGAACCAGGUACUUUUAACCUGAAUACAUAGGGUUAUAAGAGCAAACCCGGGGAACUGAAACAUCUAAGUACCCGGAGGAAAGGAAAUCAACAGAUACUCCCCUAGUAGCGGCGAGCGAACGGGGACCAGCCGAGCAAUGAGAGUGACCAGAAUGACCUGGAAAGGUCAGCCAUAGUGGGUGACAGCCCCGUAUGGGAAGCUCGAUUUGACGUAUUAAGUAGGGCGGGACACGUGAAAUCCUGUCUGAACAUCGGGGGACCACCCUCGAAGGCUAAGUACUCCUUACUGACCGAUAGCGAACCAGUACCGUGAGGGAAAGGUGAAAAGCACCCCGACGAGGGGAGUGAAACAGUUUCUGAAACCGGACGCCUACAAGCAGUCGGAGGGGCCUUGAGCCCUGACGGCGUACCUUUUGUAUAAUGGGUCAUCGACUUGGUCUCACAUGCAAGCUUAAGCCGAUAGGUGUAGGCGCAGCGAAAGCGAGUCUUAAUAGGGCGUCGAGUAUGUGGGAUCAGACCCGAAACCGAGUGAUCUAGGCAUGACCAGGAUGAAGGUAAGGUAACACUUACUGGAGGUCCGAACCCACACCUGUUGAAAAAGGUCGGGAUGAGUUGUGCCUAGGGGUGAAAGGCCAAUCAAACUCGGAGAUAGCUGGUUCUCCGCGAAAUCUAUUUAGGUAGAGCGUCAUCCGAAUACCCUCGGGGGUAGAGCACUGGAUGGGUAAUGGGGCCCCACAGGCUUACUGAUCCUAACCAAACUCCGAAUACCGAGGAGUACUAGAUGGCAGACACACGGCGGGUGCUAACGUCCGUCGUGGAGAGGGAAACAACCCUGACCUACAGCUAAGGCCCCCAAUUCAUGGCUAAGUGGGAAAGCAGGUGGGACGACCAAAACAACCAGGAGGUUGGCUUAGAAGCAGCCAUCCUUUAAAGAUAGCGUAACAGCUCACUGGUCUAGAUAAGUUGUCCUGCGGCGAAGAUGUAACGGGGCUCAAGCCAUGAGCCGAAGCUUAGGACUGCGUAUGCAGUGGUAGCGGAGCGUAGUGUGAUAUAACUCCACGCCUCCUUGUCUCCUUCGGGAGUAUUGGAGGCUCGGAGUUUUCUGUGAAGCCGGGGCGUGAGCCAACCGGUGGAGAGAUCACUAGCGAGAAUGAUGACAUGAGUAGCGACAAACAGGG
rnacentral:ncRNA from 1 species